UGCCAGCCGCCGCGGUAAUACGGAGGGGGCUAGCGUUGCUCGGAAUUACUGGGCGUAAAGAGCACGUAGGCGGGUAUUCUAGUCAGGCGUGAAAGCCCCAGGCUCAACCUGGGAACUGCCUUUGAUACUGUUUAUCUAGAGUCCGAGAGAGGUUAGUGGAAUUCCCAGUGUAGAGGUGAAAUUCGUAGAUAUUGGGAAGAACACCAGUGGCGAAGGCGGCUAACUGGCUCGGUACUGACGCUGAGAUGCGAAAGCGUGGGGAGCAAACAGGAUUAGAUA
rnacentral:rRNA from 1 species